rnacentral:rRNA from 1 species
UUAAGCGACCAAGCGUACACGGUGGAUGCCCUGGCAGUCAGAGGCGAUGAAGGACGUGCUAAUCUGCGAUAAGCGCCGGUAAGGUGAUAUGAACCGUUAUAACCGGCGAUUUCCGAAUGGGGAAACCCAGUGUGACUCGUCACACUAUCAUUAACUGAAUCCAUAGGUUAAUGAGGCGAACCGGGGGAACUGAAACAUCUAAGUACCCGAGGAAAAGAAAUCAACCGAGAUUCCCCCAGUAGCGGCGAGCGAACGGGGAGGAGCCCAGAGCCUGAAUCAGCAUGUGUGUUAGUGGAAGCGUCUGGAAAGGCGCGCGAUACAGGGUGACAGCCCCGUACACAAAAGCGCACAUGUUGUGAGCUCGAUGAGUAGGGCGGGACACGUGGUAUCCUGUCUGAAUAUGGGGGGACCAUCCUCCAAGGCUAAAUACUCCUGACUGACCGAUAGUGAACCAGUACCGUGAGGGAAAGGCGAAAAGAACCCCGGCGAGGGGAGUGAAACAGAACCUGAAACCGUGUACGUACAAGCAGUGGGAGCACAGGUUUACCUGUGUGACUGCGUACCUUUUGUAUAAUGGGUCAGCGACUUAUAUUCUGUAGCAAGGUUAACCGCAUAGGGGAGCCGAAGGGAAACCGAGUCUUAAUUGGGCGUUAAGUUGCAGGGUAUAGACCCGAAACCCGGUGAUCUAGCCAUGGGCAGGUUGAAGGUUGGGUAACACUAACUGGAGGACCGAACCGACUAAUGUUGAAAAAUUAGCGGAUGACCUGUGGCUGGGGGUGAAAGGCCAAUCAAACCGGGAGAUAGCUGGUUCUCCCCGAAAGCUAUUUAGGUAGCGCCUCGUGAACUCAUCUCCGGGGGUAGAGCACUGUUUCGGCUAGGGGGCCAUCCCGGCUUACCAACCCGAUGCAAACUGCGAAUACCGGAGAAUGUUAUCACGGGAGACACACGGCGGGUGCUAACGUCCGUCGUGAAGAGGGAAACAACCCAGACCGCCAGCUAAGGUCCCAAAGUCAUGGUUAAGUGGGAAACGAUGUGGGAAGGCCCAGACAGCCAGGAUGUUGGCUUAGAAGCAGCCAUCAUUUAAAGAAAGCGUAAUAGCUCACUGGUCGAGUCGGCCUGCGCGGAAGAUGUAACGGGCUAAACCAUGCACCGAAGCUGCGGCAGCGACGCUUAUGCGUUGUUGGGUAGGGGAGCGUUCUGUAAGCCUGUGAAGGUGGCCUGUGAGGGUUGCUGGAGGUAUCAGAAGUGCGAAUGCUGACAUAAGUAACGAUAAAGCGGGUGAAAAGCCCGCUCGCCGGAAGACCAAGGGUUCCUGUCCAACGUUAAUCGGGGCAGGGUGAGUCGACCCCUAAGGCGAGGCCGAAAGGCGUAGUCGAUGGGAAACGGGUUAAUAUUCCCGUACUUGGUGUUACUGCGAAGGGGGGACGGAGAAGGCUAUGUUGGCCGGGCGACGGUUGUCCCGGUUUAAGCGUGUAGGCUGACUUUCCAGGCAAAUCCGGAGAGUCAAGGCUGAGGCGUGACGACGAGGCACUACGGUGCUGAAGUAACAAAUGCCCUGCUUCCAGGAAAAGCCUCUAAGCAUCAGGUAACAUCAAAUCGUACCCCAAACCGACACAGGUGGUCAGGUAGAGAAUACCAAGGCGCUUGAGAGAACUCGGGUGAAGGAACUAGGCAAAAUGGUGCCGUAACUUCGGGAGAAGGCACGCUGACACGUAGGUGAAGUGGUUUACCCAUGGAGCUGAAGUCAGUCGAAGAUACCAGCUGGCUGCAACUGUUUAUUAAAAACACAGCACUGUGCAAACACGAAAGUGGACGUAUACGGUGUGACGCCUGCCCGGUGCCGGAAGGUUAAUUGAUGGGGUCAGCGCAAGCGAAGCUCCUGAUCGAAGCCCCGGUAAACGGCGGCCGUAACUAUAACGGUCCUAAGGUAGCGAAAUUCCUUGUCGGGUAAGUUCCGACCUGCACGAAUGGCGUAAUGAUGGCCAGGCUGUCUCCACCCGAGACUCAGUGAAAUUGAACUCGCUGUGAAGAUGCAGUGUACCCGCGGCAAGACGGAAAGACCCCGUGAACCUUUACUAUAGCUUGACACUGAACAUUGAGCCUUGAUGUGUAGGAUAGGUGGGAGGCUUUGAAGCGUGGACGCCAGUCUGCGUGGAGCCAACCUUGAAAUACCACCCUUUAAUGUUUGAUGUUCUAACGUGGACCCGUAAUCCGGGUUGCGGACAGUGUCUGGUGGGUAGUUUGACUGGGGCGGUCUCCUCCUAAAGAGUAACGGAGGAGCACGAAGGUUGGCUAAUCCUGGUCGGACAUCAGGAGGUUAGUGCAAUGGCAUAAGCCAGCUUGACUGCGAGCGUGACGGCGCGAGCAGGUGCGAAAGCAGGUCAUAGUGAUCCGGUGGUUCUGAAUGGAAGGGCCAUCGCUCAACGGAUAAAAGGUACUCCGGGGAUAACAGGCUGAUACCGCCCAAGAGUUCAUAUCGACGGCGGUGUUUGGCACCUCGAUGUCGGCUCAUCACAUCCUGGGGCUGAAGUAGGUCCCAAGGGUAUGGCUGUUCGCCAUUUAAAGUGGUACGCGAGCUGGGUUUAGAACGUCGUGAGACAGUUCGGUCCCUAUCUGCCGUGGGCGCUGGAGAACUGAGGGGGGCUGCUCCUAGUACGAGAGGACCGGAGUGGACGCAUCACUGGUGUUCGGGUUGUCAUGCCAAUGGCACUGCCCGGUAGCUAAAUGCGGAAGAGAUAAGUGCUGAAAGCAUCUAAGCACGAAACUUGCCCCGAGAUGAGUUCUCCCUGAGACUUUAAGUCUCCUGAAGGAACGUUGAAGACGACGACGUUGAUAGGCCGGGUGUGUAAGCGCAGCGAUGCGUUGAGCUAACCGGUACUAAUGAACCGUGAGGCUUAACCUU